GCCAGGCAUGGUGGCUCAUGCCUGUAAUCCCAGCAUUUUGGGAGGCUGAGGCAGGCGGAUCACCUGAGGUCAGGAGUUCAAGACCAGCCUGACCAACAUGGUGAAACCCUGUCUCUA
rnacentral:sRNA from 1 species